rnacentral:rRNA from 1 species
AAACAUCGCCUCUUGCUCAAAAAGUAUAAGAGGUCCUGCCUGCCCUGUGACACAAUGUUCAACGGCCGCGGUAUCUUGACCGUGUGAAGGUAGCGUAAUCAUUUGUCUUUUAAAUGGAGACCUGUAUGAAUGGCGUAACGAGAGCUUAACUGUCUCACUCUUUUAGUCAAUGAAAUUGAUCUCCCCGUGCAGAAGCGGGGAUAAACACAUAAGACGAAAAGACCCUAUGGAGCUUCAGAAUCUAGAGCAGCCCAAAAAAUUUAAACAAAAUUCAGGACCCUGCUCUCACAUUUCUUCGGUUGGGGCGACCAUGGAGAAAAACAAAACCUCCACGAAAAAAGUACCAAUACUUGUAUGAAUUAACGAGAUACAACUCUAAGUUCCAGAAUAUCUGCUUUUAAAUGAUCCGGCCUAUUUUUAAGCCGACCAACGAAUCAAGUUACCCUAGGGAUAACAGCGCAAUCCCCUUCUAGAGCCCACAUCGACAAGGGGGUUUACGACCUCGAUGUUGGAUCAGGACAUCCUAAUGGCGCAACCGCUAUUAAGGGUUCGUUUGUUCAACGAUUAAAGUCCUACGUGAU